CACCUACGGGGGGCAGCAGUAGGGAAUCUUCCACAAUGGGCGAAAGCCUGAUGCAGCAACGCCGCGUGAAGGAAGACGGUUUUCGGAUUGUAAACUUCUGUUCUUAGUGAAGAAGAAUGACGGUAGCUAAGGAGCAAGCCACGGCUAACUACGUGCCAGCAGCCGCAGUAAUACGGAGGGUGCGAGCGUUAAUCGGAAUUACUGGGCGUAAAGCGCUCGUAGGCGGUAUGUCGAGUCAAGGGUGAAAUCCCCGCGCUCAACGUGGGAACUGCCUUUGAAACUGGCAAACUGGAGUGU
rnacentral:rRNA from 1 species